rnacentral:rRNA from 1 species
UACGGAGGGGGCUAGCGUUGUUCGGAAUUACUGGGCGUAAAGCGCACGUAGGCGGUGGUGCAUGUCAGAUGUGAAAGCCCUGGGCUUAACCUAGGAAUUGCAUUUGAAACUGCGCCGCUAGAGACCGGAAGAGGGUAGUGGAAUUCCCAGUGUAGAGGUGAAAUUCGUAGAUAUCAGGAAGAACACCGAUGGCGAAGGCAGCUCUCUGGGACGGUACUGACGCUGAGACGCGAAAGCGUGGGGAGCGAACAGG